GAGGCGUGGCAGAGCCCAAAUUCGACUAGAGCAGUCUCCCUUGAUUCUUACGUCGUUCAGGAAAAUUCGUAUUUGGGCUACAUAUAUACAUACAUCUAUAUAUUUAGUUCAUAAUACAAAAACCAUGGCAAAAGUUAAAAUGUAGAAAUAUGAUAAAACUAAAAAAAAAAAAAAAUUUAUUUUUUUUAAACAAAACCAAAAGCCAAAAUCAAAAAGUUUUGAAAAUGGGGCAUGGAAAAUUCGAUCAAUUUCCAUAUUUGCUGACAGUGAGAUAAAGCGGUACGAACAUGUUCAAUCUUGUUCAUUGGAGUCUAAUCGAGGAUUUCCUGUAAUUCUAGAGCUGCUAGACUCUCCUCUCACUGUUGCCCUCGCCCCUUUCUUUACGUUUUAGCUGGGACUAGCAAUGUGGAUCCUAAACAGCUGGACACAAAUAUACGAAAUAUCAGCGAAUUUGUUAGUUUAAUGUUGUACAUAUGAACAGGCCCGAAUGGCUUGUGUGUUUGUUGAUUGUGUUAGUGUAUAUGUGUGUAUAAAAAACAAAAACAAAAAAAUUGGAAAUAAU